rnacentral:snoRNA from 1 species
CCCCUCUCAGGGUCAUACCUGGAGAGUUUCCAGUACUCUACCAGUCUCAGCUAAGGGAGGGAGAGUCAAGCAGAGGCAAACCCAUUCAAUUCCUAGCUUGGCCAGUGGCUAGAGAGUGGAAGGCAAUCUGUUCCAAGU